ACAACAGAUGGUAACUGUGGGCUGGAAACACUAUGACCCCAUCAAAGACCAAUUCAAGCAGGUGUACUCCUCAAAAGGUGGGGGCACCUUCCAGAUUCAUCUAGAUAAAUCUAUGACAUAUGCAGAAGUGCUUGGUCGCCUCAAGAACUUGUUCUUCCCAGGUGGCAAAAAUGGAGACCUUGAAGUUGCCCACCUGACUCUUUCCCUGGGAAAUUACGUCGGGGAUGUCAUCAAACAUGAGCUGACUCUAGAAGAUGGGUCCACAACCACCUUUACCAUCGAGUCUUACUUGGGAUAUUGCAAGACCCAGAAGAUCAGGUUGUAUCUGAUCACAAAAGUAGACCCCCUCAGAGAUAUGUUUGGAGAGGUGUCGGAUAUUUCUGACGAGGAUGAUGCAUUACCCGAUCCUGGUCUGGUACGUGCAUCUACUUGCGGUGUUGUUUGACUGCGGCUUCCGCACCCCGAAGGGACAGACGAUUUAGAUGAUACCAUACCAUUAGUACCAAGGGCUUCAUCUAGUCAAGCUGUGGCUAAUCCCAACCCCAACCCAACUGACUGGCCCAUCAAACAUCAGAUUUUCAGUGUAAUACUUCAAAGUCUGUCAACCCCAACACCAAUUGCAGGGAUGACGAUGACCCACAAGCUAUUUUUCAGUCUGAUCCUUUAAGGUCUGUCAACCCCAACACCAGUUCCUGGGAUGACGAUGACCCACAAGCUGUUUUUCAGUCUGAUCCUUCAAGUUCUGUCAACCCCAACACCAGUUCCUGGAAUGACGAUGACCCACAAGCUAUUUUAGAAACUGCCGAGCUUCACCAAAGCAAUGAAGCUGUAGGAUGUGAAACAAAUGAUUCUAGUGAGAAGUGUGCCGUAACAGUCAUGCAGACCGAUAAUGUCGGUGGACAAAGGAAAUGGGACAAAAAACAAUAUUGCUUUUACUGUGAUGAGCCUCAGGCCAAGUUACCCCGUCAUCUUCAGUCGCGUCACAAAGAGGAGAGGGAAGUUGUAGAGAUAGCA